rnacentral:rRNA from 1 species
GACGAACGCUGGCGGCGUGCUUAACACAUGCAAGUCGAACGGAAAGGCCCUGCUUUUGUGGGGUGCUCGAGUGGCGAAAGGGUGAGUAACACGUGAGUAACCUGCCCUUGACUUUGGGAUAACUUCAGGAAACUGGGGCUAAUACCGGAUAGGAGCUCCUGCUGCAUGGUGGGGGUUGGAAAGUUUCGGCGGUUGGGGAUGGAUGCGCGGGUUAUCAGCUUGCUGGUGGGGUAGUGGCUUACCAAGGCUUUGACGGGUAGCCGGCCUGAGCGGGUGACCGGCCACAUUGGGACUGAGAGACGGACCAGACGCCUACGGGAGGCAGCAGUGGGGAAUAUUACACAAUGGGCGGAAGCCUGAUGCAGCAACGCCGCGUGCGGGAUGACGGCCUUCGGGUUGUAAACCGCUGUCGCCUGUGACGAAGCGGGAGUGACGGUAAUGAGUAAAGAAGCAACGGCUAACUACGUG